rnacentral:lncRNA from 1 species
UCCAAAUGAUGUCUCUCUUGCAAAUCUAAAUCUCUCAGGAUCUGCAACCAAAAAAAGAGGUACACAUGUUUUCUUAUCCAUUUUAUCUUCUUUCAAUAUAUCACUUAUAUUUGGAUAAAAUCAAAAUUAUUUAACAGAAAAUACUAUUAAUAACAAACUAAGAAAUAUAAGCGGGAGAAAAUCAUUUUGUCCAAGUUUGCUUCAAAAAUCAAACAUCAACCAGAAAUUUGAACAGUAUUCUCUCCCUCUCAUUCAAUUGAACAUUUUAAGUUCCUGUUUCGCCCUCUAAAUUUUCAACUUAUGUCUCCUUUUAUCUUGAGUUAAUAACUCAAAUGGUUACUCAACUUUGAAUUUUUAUCCCAGAAAAUCACUUAAAUUUGAGUGACUUUCUGAGUAAAAAUAUAAAAGUUGAGUGACUUUCUGAGUAAGAAUUAAAGUUGAGUAACUUUCUAGAAUAAAAGUCCAAAGUUGAGUGACUUUCUGGGAUAAAAAUUCAAAAUUGAGUAACCGUUUGAGUUAUUAACUCCUUUUACCUUUUAAAGUAUUGUAUAUCAAUUAAGAACUUACCUAUAAAACAAAUAAUUUUCAUUUACGAAGUAAAAAAUAUAAAAAUAGUUUUCAAGCAUAUAUAAUGUUGGAAUCAUAAAAUAAUAAGAAUAUUUUAUUUGUAUAACUAAUUUUAAUUAAAUAUCAACAACCCAAACUAAAAAAAUUAUUUACACAAUUCUAGUAUCUAGUAUCUAGUACUACAUAUUAGUACUAUAUAAAAGCGUGAUAAAGCAGACAUUUUUUUGAUGUUGUGUCCGCUUGCUUGGUGAUUUUACUAUAUCAUCCCUAAUUAAUUAUUAUUUAUCAUUUACAUAUUAAAAAAUAAUAAUAUCUAAUAAAAAAAAGUGAAAUAGACAUUUAUAACAUGUCAGCUUCAGCUAUGUCCGUAAUUUUAUUGACUAUCAAACAAUAAGUUACGUCUCAUAAGGAAGAGUUGACACUACCACAUUGUAUUUUUAGUUAUGAGAUAUGACUUAGCCCAAGAAUUUUCACACAAUAAAUUAUGUCCAGAUUGUGUUUUGACUUAUGCGAUGCUCUAUAAUUCUUACCUUAGAGGCAAGACUUAGCCCAAGGAUUUUCAAAUAACAAAUUAUACCCCAUGAAUAAGAGUUGACACUACCACAUUGUGUCUUGAUUUAUGAGAUGUUCUAUAACUCUCACCUUAGAGGUAACACUUAUUUCAAGAACUUUCAAACAACAAAUUACAUAUAAUGGGCAAGAGUUGACACCAUAUUAUGUUUUGAGUUAUGAGAUACUCUAUACUCUUGUCUUUGAGGCAAGAAUUAGACCAAAAACUUUCAAACAACAACUUAUACCCCAUGGGUAAGAGUUGACACUACCACAUUUUGUUUUGAUAAAUGAGAUGUUCUAUAACUCUUGAUUUAGAGGUAAGACUUAUUUCAAGGACUUUCAAACAACAGAUUUCAUACAAUGGGAAAAAGUUGACACUACCAUAUUGUGUUUUGAAUUAUGAUAUGCUCUAUAACUCUUCUCUUAGAGGCAAAACUUAGCGCAAAUGCUUUCAACAACAACUUACACCUUAUAGGCAAGAGUUAGACACUACCACAUCUUGUUUCGAUUUAUGAAAUAUUCUAUAACUCUUGUCUUGGAGGUAAGACUUAGCCCAAAGUUCAAACAAUAAGUUACCUUCUAUGAACAAGAUUUGACUACAAUAUUGUGUCUUGAUUUAUGAGAUGUUCUAUAACUCUCACCUUAAAGGCAAAAUUUAGUCCAAGAACUUUCAAACAAUACUACCAUAUUAUAUUGUAUCUUGAUUUAUGAGAUAAUCUAUAACUCUUGCUUUAGAGGUAAAACUUAGACCAAGGACUUUCAAACAACAAGUUACGCUCCGUGGGCAAGAGUUGACACUACUAUGUUGUAUCUUGAUUUUAUAAGGUGCUUUAUUAGUCAUGCCUCUAAGACAAGACUUAAACCAAGAAGCUCCUACAAAUCAAGUUACUCCACUGAGCAAGAGUUAACACUACUUCAUUAUUUAUUAAUUUAUGAGAUACUAUUAAUUAACUCUUGCCGUAGAGGCAAGACUUAACUAAAGAAUUUUCAUAUAACAAGUUAUGCCCUAUAAGCAAGACUUGACACUAUCACAUUGUGUUUGAUUUAUGAGAUGUACUAUAACACUUGCCUUAAAAGCAAGACUUAUUCCAAAGGACUUUCAAACAAUAAGUCAUUCCUUUAAAUUUUCUUCAAUGUCAAAGAAAGAAGAUUCUCUUUGUAGAUCAUCCAACUUUAUGUUCAUUAGCAAAAUUAAUAAAAGUUGAUAAAAAAAUAGAAAAGAAAAAAAUAAAGAUUGAGAAAAAAAGAAUAAAGAUUAAGAAAAAAGAAAAAAUAAAAAAGCAUAAAGAUUGAGAAAAAUUAAAAUGAAAAAAAAAAUAUAAACAAAAAUAUUUUGAGAAAAUGAAAAAAAGUAGAAAAAAUGUGAAAAGAUAAAAAAAAAAUAAAAGAAAAGUGAAGGUUGAGAAAAAAAGAAUUAAAAAAGAAAAAAAAGAAAAAUAAAAAUAAAGAAACUAAAGACUGGGUCAAAUGAAUCAAAAAAGGAGAAGGAAAAAAUAAAAAAAAUGAAAAUUAAGGAAAAAAAUAUUAUAAAUAUAUUGUCAUAUAUGGUGAAUGUCUAUUUAUGAAAAAGUUAGAAACCCUAAGUUUAGUUUUCCCUAUAAAUAAUGGGUUUUUCUUUAUUGUAAUAAACCCAUCAAGAGACCUCUCAAGAAAAAUAAUAACCACUCUCUCUUCUCUCUAUUCUUCUUCUUCUCCAUUUUAUAUUUAAUAACACGUUAUAUUAAAGAAUUAGAAAAUUGUUCAUUACUUUUAAUGUUGCUUGUUCUUAUGAUGAGUUGGUUGGACCAACUAAUAUUGGGAUUGAAUCUCUUAAAAUAUGAAAAUUAUAAAAGGUGAAUAUGGGCUUGCUCACCUAUCAUGUGAUUUGUUGAAAAGAUGCAUCAAUAAGAUGAUCGCAUGUAUAUUUAUUGUCAACCUGCAAUUUGUUAUUCAUAAAGUUACUUGCUCAAUAAAAUUGAGUUAAGAACAUAAUUUUCAGAUUAUGUAAUCAAGACAAUUCAUCUUGAUAAUGCUAAUUAAGUUGAUGUUAAAUACCUUUAAUAAAUAGUUGAAUCAUUGUUUAUGAGAACAAAGCCACAUGUGUUGGUCUCAAAUAUGAUAUGUUGCAUAUAAUAACACUUGUUUGCAUUAGACCAAAAAUUAUGAUUAAUACUUCCAUCUCAAUUGGUUCAAGGUCAAGAAUCAAUCAUUCCAUCUAGUAGUUUUGAUGUGUGGUAUUUGAUAAAUGAAUAUAUCACAAUGCAUAAAGAUGAAUUCCUCAAAGAAGAUAAAGGAUGUAUAUUUACUUUCCUAACAUAAGGGGGAGAUUAUAAGAAGUUAUGAAAUAUGUUAGAAAUUAUCAUCAGAUCUUCAUUCAAAAGAUAAUUCAAGUCAAAUGCCAAAAGCAUAUCAUAUUUAAGCUGUAAAUGCUCCUAUUUUGUAUUUCUAAAGGACAAGAUCUAUGCAUGCGUGAAGCGUGAUAGACCAAUCGAUUCCAAAUACAAUAAUCCUUGAAAAGGAUACGGAGAAAAUAAUCAUAAUAAGAAGGCAAUGUGUUCUUAAAGAGCCUACGACAUAACAAUUCAUGAAACCUUAUGAGAGGUUCAGGAACCUGAAAAUAAUAAAGUGAUGAGAUUUCAAAAUGUUAUGUCACACCGUGAACCGAUAUGAAAUGAAAUAUCAUUAAUAUCUUUGAUACAAUAUUGGCGCAAUAUUAUGAAAAAUUACGAGAAUUCAAAUUCUACAUUGAUUUAAGUAUGCUGACGUAGUAAUAUUUAUCAUGUGACGUGAAAGGAUGGAUCUUGGUAAUCAUAAAACUUAUUUGAUUUGCAGUCCAGAUACUUGAAGAUAUCACUCAUGAAAUGUUGAAUAUUAUUACUUGACAAAAUUUAUAUGAAAACUUUUUUAAGGAUUCAAAAUAUUUGAAGCAUAUAAAAAUUUCUGAGAAACUUAUUUAGAAUCCUUAUAUUGUACUCCCUCCAUCUCAAAUUAUGUGUCGUCAUUUCUUUUUUGGUCUGUCCUAAAAAGAAUUUCGUCUUUUCUUAUUUGGUAAGUUUUUAAAAACAUAAUUACAAUUUUACCAUUAGUGGUCCCACUUUACUUUAAUUAUUAUUACUUUUUUUUUUUCAAUUAAAAGUAGUCCCACUUGAUUUUAAAUACUAUUAUUUCUUUUUUAAAGAAGGAUAAUUUUGUAACUUUAACAAAGUCAAUACUUAUUUCUUAAAUAUCGUGUCCGAUCAAAUGACGACACAUAAUUUGGGACGGAGGAAGUAUAGGAUUAUAGCUUGAAAAUUAUUAAAACUCUUGGAGAGUUUUUAAAAGCAAUAGAUUAUUUGCUGAAAUGAGAAAUAAACCAUUUUGGAUUGGUUAUGAAUUACCAUAUCUUAGUGCAAUUGGUGAACUCAUAUAUCUUGCAAAUACUACAAGAUCCGAGAUAGCCUUUCGAUUAAGUUAUUAACAAGGUAUAGUUCUACUCCUACUAGGAGACAUCAAAAUGAGAUCAAACAUAUGAGCUUAUUUAUUCUAAAGAUUGCAGUCCCGUUCUUAUUGAUUAUGUUGAUGCCGGGUACUUAUCUGGCCCGUAUAAAGUUCAAUCUCAAACAGGCUAUGCGUUCAUAUGUGGGGUACUGUCAUAUCUUGGAGAUAUAUAAAAUAGUCUAUCAUAACCACUUCAUCGAAUUAUGCUGAGAUAAUAGUUAUUCAGUGUGUGUGGUUGAGGUUCAUGAUACAUCUCAUUCGCGAAAAUGUGAUUUGAAAUAUGACAAAGUACCUAUAGUUUUUGUAUGAGGAUAAUGCAACAUGCACAACACAACUAAGGGAGUACACAAUGAGAUAGAACGAAGCACAUUUCGCCAAAACUUUUCUAUACACAGGAGCUACAAAAGAAUGAUGAUAUUAACGUGCAAUAGAUUCAUUCAAGCAACAAUAUGACUUAUUUAUUCACCAAGUAUCCUCCAAUUGCAACUUUCAAGAAGAUGGUGCAAAAUAUCGGGAUGCAAAGGUUGAAGGAUUUUCUAAUUAGGGGGAGUUAAUAUGCGUUGUACUCUUUUUUUCUUACGAGGUUUUAUCCCACUGGAUUUUUCUUGUAAGGUUUUUAAUGAGGCAACCUACAUGCAUAUUGUUAGAGAUGUGUACUCUUUUUGCUUCACUAUAUUUUUUUUUCACUGGAUUUUUUCUAGUAAAAUUUUAACGAGACACAUUAUCUAUUAAUUUUUUAAGAUUUUAACGAGGCACAUUAUCUAUCAAUUAGACAUUUAAGGGGGAAUGUUAAAAAUAUAUUAUCAUAUAUAGUGAAUGUCUGUUUAUGAAAAAAGUUAGAAAUUCUAAGGUUAGUUUUCCCUAUAAAUAAAGGGGUUUUCUUCAUUGUAAUAGACUCUAAGAAAAAUAAUAAUCACUCUCUCUGUUCUUCUUCUUCUUUGCUUUAUAUUUCAUAACAAAAAAUAUGUUGAGAGAUAAAUGAGCAUAAAAGGUAAAAAAAUAUUUAAGCUGUAGAUGAGUAAAAAUAUACUUAUUCUAUAUAUAAAAAAUAAAUAUUACAUAUUUAAAAACUUUUCUUAUUGAACCAAAAAGACAAAAUCUCCCACUACGAGUUAUCCCAUCCCAUGUAAUUGAUUGGCUCAAUGUUGGGGAAGAUACUUGACCACUCAAGUAAAGAAUAAAGUCUUAAAAUCGUUAGUCAAUUUCUUCCACCGUAAAAUGUCGUUGCAAAAUAAAGUAUCUACACAAAUCUUUAAAGUUCUUAGCCUCUUUAUAUCCCUUUUCAAAAAAUAAAAAUGUGCACUUCUCCAUUAUCGUUUAUACCAUUUUACCCCAUCCAACAAUCACCAGAAAAAAAUAAGAAAUCUGCACACAUAGUUAUGUCCUUUAGCCAAUUUAUCCCACCUAAACUUAUAAGAACUCGAAAUUAAAAUAAGUCAAGUUAUAAAUAAAGUGAUCAAAAUUGGUCACUUAUUUAAUAAGUUAUCAAAAUAGACUAAACGUAAUAAAUUAUUACGUUUUUUACUUUUUUCUUAACGGUUAACUAACGAAAUUGACUUUUUAUAAAACAUAAUAAUUUAUUAUGUUUUAUCAAAAAAAAAAAUGUAACAAAUUGUUACACUUUACACAAAAAUCUAAAAAAAAUAAGUCAAUAUUUUGUCACAUCACUACUUUUAUGUCAACGUUCUCUCAAUAAAUCGUAAGAAAAACUUAAGUUGUGUCAACUUCCCUUUCACUUCUCUUGCACACAAUAAUAGCUACUCUACUCUUCCCAUCCAUAGCCAAAACCCACCACUCCCUUCUUAUUAAACAUUAAAUAAACUAUUCACAAUUAUUGUCAUCAUAUUAAUUUAUUAUAUUAUUUUAAUAAAAUAAAUAAAAGACAAAACAUAGUUCGUUUUUCAACAUCCAUAGAAAAUUAGUUGUUUAUAUGAAUAUAUAAUUAAUUUAAUUUCAUCAAUAUCAAGAAAAGAAUAAAAAUUUCAUCAAAACUUAUAAAUCAGUGUUUUGUCACAUCAUCGCUUUUAUAUUUACAUUUUCUCAAAAUUGAUAAAAUCAUAAAAAAACUUACGUUUUAUAUCAAAUAAACAUUGAAAAAAUCAUUUUUUCUUAUACAUAUCAAUAAUAAUAAUAAUAAUAAUAAUAAUAAUAAUAAUAAUAAUAAUAAGAUAAAAAAAAAAACGAGUUGAGAAGAUUGAUGAUUGUAGGAAUAAUGUUGCUUCAAAUUUAAUGACAAUAAUUGUGAAUAGUUUAUUUAAUGUUUAAUAAGAAGGGAGUGGUGGAGUUUGGUUAUGGAUGAGAAUAAUAGAGUAGAUAUUUGUUGUGCGUAAGAGAAGCGAAAGGGAGGUUGACAUAACGUAAGUUUUUCUUACAAUUUAUUGAAAAAAAGUUGAUAUAAAAGCAAUGAUGUGACAAAACAUUGAUUUACUUUCUUAGAUUUUUGUGUAAAACGUAACAAUUUGUUACGUUUUAUAUUUUUUUUGACAAAACAUAAUAAAUUAUUACGUUUUACAAAAAAAAUUGUAAACCAUAAUAAUUUAUUACUUUUUACAAAAAGUAACUCUGUUAUUGACUGUUAAAAAAAACGAAAAACGUAAUAAUUUAUUAUGUUUAGACUAUUUUGAUAACUUAUUAAUUAGAUUGUUUAUUUUGAUUACUUUAUUCAUAACUUGAGUUAUUUUGAUUUCGAGUUCAACUUAUAACUAUGAAUAUCUACAAAAUACACUUUAUGUCCUCUACGCUCUACCUAUAUCUAUUCAUAAAAUUCUCAAAAUUUUCAUACUAUGCAAGUUACUAUUAAAUUGUCUCUUUGUCAUCAUCAUGAAGAGUCUCUCUCUGCCAUCAUCCAUGUCUUAUCAUAAAAUUAUUCAAAUUCAAUGUCAUGCAAGUUACUAUUCCAAGGUCCCUUCAUCAUAAGCCCUUGUGCUCUCUAGUUCUUGAUGAUCUCCUCUUAGGACAUGAAAUUUUUUUCUUUUUUUUCGGAAAAUUUUUCUGAAGUUGAAAAUUGUGGUGUUUGGCCAUGAAAAUUCAAAAAAUAAUUCUGAAAAUUUUUUCUGAAAAGGGAAAACAGGUUUUUUGUUGUUUUCACAAAUUUUCAACUCCAAUUUCAACUUUUAUUAUUAUUACUACAUAUAACCCCAAUCUUUUAAAUUUUUACAUAAAACUCUCCUUAUAACAUUACUUUUUCAAUAUUACGUAUAUAGCAGUUUUAAAGAAUAAGAUAAUUAUAAUUUCAAACUUAGUGCUAUCCUAAUUAAUAUAUAUCUCUUUUUCUCUCUCAUCAUUAUUUUUUUCUCUUAUUUAAUUUUCUCCCUUAUUUAAGACAUUAUUUUACUGCUAAUUUAUAUUUAUACCCAUAAAAUAUAUAAAGUAUUAUAUUUAUACCCAUAAAUAUAUAAAGUAUUAUAUUUAUAAUAGAAAUAUACAAAGCAUGUUAUAUAUAAAGUUUAUACCAUGUAUAUAUCAUAUACACACAUAUAUAAANNNNNNNNNNNNNNNNNNNNNNNNNNNNNNNNNNNNNNNNNNNNNNNNNNNNNNNNNNNNNNNNNNNNNNNNNNNNNNNNNNNNNNNAUAGAAAUAAUUUAUUCACACACAAUAAAAUCUUUCAUGUAUAAGAAAAUUAAAGAAAUAAAUUAGCGACACCCUAAAAUUUAAUAACAACUCAUCAUUUUCUAUAUUUUAGGAACGAAAAAUGAAGGAAAUAAAUUAAAUAAAUUCCUAAAAAAAUAAAUUUGUUUGAAAGAUAAUAUUUGUUACCUAAAAAAUAGGAAGCAGUGAUCUGUUAAUAUAACGUCCAUAUUUAAAAUUUUCAAAUAUGAGAAAACGGCUAUUAAUGUAAAUAUUAUAUAUGUCAUAAUUGAAAUUCAUUAAAUAUGACCAUGUAUAUGUAAUUAUUUUUAUAAUAGUGGCUAAUUGUGUUCUUUUUCCAUUAGUAGGUAAAUUUUAGUUGGGUGAUUUUGAUAGUUUGUAAAAGUUAGAGUGUAAAAUCAUAUUUAAAAAAGUUUUUUCAAAAGUAAAAAAAAAAAUUCAAAAAAGACAUGAUCAAAUACAACUUCAACUCCAAUUUCAACUCCAACUUCAAUUCCAACUCCGAAAAAUUUUAGUUUUCAUGGCCAAACGGCUACUAAAUAAGUGUCUUUCUUUGUAAGAUUGUUGUUUGUUUUACUUAUUUUAUUUUUCAUUUGUACUACGUAGUUAAAUAAGUGUAGUACAUGUUUUAGUUUAGGCAGAGUACAUAGCCCCUUAAUUAUUCGACUUUUUUCGUAUAGGCACCUCAAUUAAGCCAUGUACCUAUUGAACUCUUUACUUCUUCACAAAUGGUUUCAAUUGAGCAUAAACGUUCUACGUGACACUUUUUUAAUGCCUGCAUUUUUAAGCCUUGGGAGCGUGAAUUGCACCUUCCAUGACAUGAAAACUAUCACCAAUUAUAAAAUUUCAUGUCAUUAAUGAAGAAAGGAUUAAAAAAAAUAAAAGUGAAUUGCUUUUCGUGUCUUCUUCCUCCUCUGUACUUUAUCCCUUUCCACCAUUGAAGCCUAGCUAAUAAUAUACCCAAUUUCUUUUUUACCCCUCUUCUUCCAUCAUCAUCUAUCUUUUUUCUUACAUUAAUUUUAUUAUUUUUUUCUCUCUUUUAAUUUUUUUCACUUUUCAAAUAUAAUUUUUAGUGAAAAGAAAAAAGAGGACCUCAUACCCAACAAUCAUUAGAGGAAAAUUUGAAAAUGGAAGAAGGUGAGUUAUUUUAUAUUGUAGUGGAUGAUGUUGGAUUUUCUUCUGGUGAAGUUCAUUGUUAUUUAUGAAAUUUGAAUUUAGAUUUACACUGAUAAAGCCAUUAUUGAAACUUGAAGGACCACAAUUACUUCAAAAUCACUGUCAACCAUCUAUGGUUGAUGAAAUCCUACCAGCAUCGUCAUUACCUCCAAAACUCCGUCCACUAUGGUCAAUACAUCUCCACCAUCUCACCUUCAAACCAUUACACCAUCAUAGUAGCUCCAACAAGUGGUCAAAAGUUGAACUCACCCUCCAUUCGUCUCCUCCUUUCCAGCAAACCAGCAUAUCAGAUAAAUCAUCCAUAAUCAAUAAUCGGUAGAAGUCGUUUAUUUCAUUUUGAUUUCUGUUCAAGCUUUAAGAAUGUGAUUUUUUAAGAAAGAUUCAAGUUUCAAGAAUAUAAUUCUUAUAUGGAUUCUCAUGAAUCCAGCCCCGAUACAAUCUCUUGUUUCGAAGGUAUAAAUAUUAAGGAAAAUACACCAUGGUAGACGAUGAAGGCCAUGGCUGCUCCAAUUUUUUUUUUUAAUUCUUUAUUUGUGGUUUUUUUUAUUGGUUGUCUUUUUCUUUUUCUUUUUAAUUUGAAUUAAUUAUGGCUUCUCACUCUCCAAGUGGAGAGUGUACUGCACAUGCCAUGCCAUGUCAGGAAUUGUGUUCAAUUGAAAUAAGUUGUGAAGAAGUAAAGGGUUCAAUAGGUACAUGACUUAAUUGAGGGGUCUAUAUGGAAAAAGUCGAAUAGUUGAGGGGCCUGUAUAUGUAUUCAUUCUAGAGUGAUGCUAGAGUUAUUCUAGAGUUCACUUAAAAUUAUUUUGUAUGUAAUUGAAAAGUCUCUUCAGUCUUGUGGAGUAAAAAUAUGGUUAAUACACAAAUUCCAAACUUAAAGAGACUAUAUCACCAAAUAUCCCUUACCUUUUUAAAAUUUACAUAAAAUCUCAGUUUUCAACUUUACUCUUGAUACAUAUCAACAAAACCCACAUCCUAUUUUUACUCCACCUAAUACUUAUGCAAGAUAUUUUUUUUCAAAGAUUACCUUUCCUAAAAUCUAUCCGAAAUUAUCCUCAAUUAAAAUAUUUUUCUUCUCGAUUUUCUCUCAUCUAUUAAUGCAUGCAACUAUUGUUUUUCCACGAUUUCCUUACUUAAACUCUCUCAAUUUUAUUUUUUUUUUGUAAAAAUCGAUUGAUAUAUAAAUUUAUUUAGCUAUUCAUACAUGUUUAUUCUUUAAUGGUGAUUCAUAUGAAUGAUAAAUAUGAUAUCAUUAUAUGGGUAUUAUGGUGAUUCAUACGCUAGAUAUGUUUUAAUGGUUGAUACAUAUGAUAUUAAUAGGUGAUAUAUAUGGUAUUAUAGUGAUUCAUAUGGUACAUACAAUUAUUAUUUCAAUUAUUAGGGUAUUCAUAUGCUAUUAAUGGGUGAUAUAUUUUGUUCACAUCGGAGAAGAAUAGAGUAGCCAUUCCAUCACCGGAGCUCACUGUUUCGGUGAACCAACGCCGGUCUACUGUUUGAAAUCCAGCUUGUAACUGAAUGCCACUGUUUUCCUCUUUAUAAAUCCUAUUUUAAUCGUAAAUUUUACUAGAAUCAAACCCGUUCUUACCCUUUAACUUGGUCCAUUUUCUAUGAUUUAAUGUACUCUUAGUAUAUCUUUUUGUUUAACGAAAUAAAAUAUCAUUUGGUGGUUUGCUCGAAUAUACAAAUAUUUGUGGUUAUCGAAAAGGAUUGUAUGAGAAUUCAAUUUCUCCUUCCAAAAUUUAUUCUGUACAAUGCAAUGACCUUGUUUAUACAAUUUCUGAUACAUAAAACAACAAAAUUCUCUAUCUAUAAAGAAUCUUCUGGAAAAAUCAACUCCUCCAUUUUGAUUUUUGGGGGGCAUUUGUUCUGCAUCCCUUUAAUCCUAUAAUAAGACUAACAUGUAGAAAAUUAAAAAAAAGUUGCCUGGAUAAUUGUUGAUUCUAGUACGGUGGUGACUCGAUUAUAGAUCAGUGUAUAUAAUGCUCUACAUGACAUGUUCGUGAAAACAAUCAGAGUUUACUUGUCGUCGAUGAAAAGUGUGAGUGUUUCGAUGGUUGCAUUUCAUUUCUUCGACGGCAAAAUGCUGUCGUUGCAUCCGAAAUAUUACCUAAUACUGGUGAGUUCGGUGAAAAACUUUUACCAAAUGUAUCACAUGGAAGAAGAAAGAAAGUCAAUUUGACUUGAUUGUUUGAAAUUUGAAAGUUGAUUGAGGGUAUUGCUGAUUUUGUUAAUCUAAUAAUUCAUUGUGUAACUGAUUGUGGGUGAUUUGUUCCACAAAAUAAAAGAGAAUUUGUUGCUUCCUUAAAUAAAUAUCUAGUCAGUUUUAUAUGUAUCAAUUUUUUAUAUGUAUCACCUUAUAUAGUAUGUAUCACAAUUUCAAAAAUCGGGAUAAGAUGUAAUUGACCAAAUAGUUGAGAUAAAAUAUAAUAUCACUUAAAGAUUUAGUGAUUUAUGUAAGUUACCUAAAAAUAUCAUCUUCUAGCUAAGUCUUUUAUAGUUUCUUCCUUUAAAAUAAGGGGAGAUGACUCACUUAUGUUUAAGUGCGAAGAGUUAAUUUAUGUAAUAGUGAGAAAUAAUUAUUUUAAUAGCUUCAUUGCAUUGUGAGUGCAAGGGUUUUUGAGUUCACUAUUGAAUGCUGAAUUUUGGCGAGGAACACCUUUUUGAUCCUCUAGCACCCCAUGUAGAAAGGCUCUUAUACGAGUAACUCAUAUUCUCUACCAAGGUAAUUUAAUCUCCGCUAAAGUUAUCAUUGAUUUGUAUGAUUUUUGGUCUCCACCCCCACCACCCGAUUCAAAACUAUCUCGUUAGUAGGUUUGAGCAUCGGGCUGGCUCGGGCAUCGACAAUCAACAUAGAUCGACUCAAUUUUAUUUAAAAUUUUACUUGAUUCACUAUCAGCUUUAUUAUGUUUGUGUUCGUUUAGUUUGUUGACUUGUUCUAGUCAUUUAAUAAUUAAUUUAAGAUUAAAGUUCAUUUAUUAAGUUUGAUCAAGUUAGUAGGGAUAAAUUGACAAUUUUAUACUUUUUCAAUCAAUUCAUUGUAAUCUAAUAUAUACUAGUUCGCUAUGGCGUGCUACGCACGACCUAAUGCUGAUCAUUAAAAAUGUUACAUUAUGUAUAAUUCUAUCAUUUAAUUAGAACCUUCAUUUGUUUAGUUAAUAAAUUCCUAGUUAGACAUGUAUUAUUAUAUAUAGAUUAAUGAAAUUUAUAUAAGAAUAUUUUAAGUUUUUAACAUGAUGUCCAUAUAAUUUCGAGAAAUAAUUUUUUUUUCUUUUUUGUAAAAAUAUUUACAAUUAUUAAUUAAUGUGAUUUAAAUUACUUUUACAUAGUAAUUAUCAGAUAUAUAAUAAAAUAUUUUAAGUUUACUAUUUUUAUUUUUAAUAUUUUUAAUAUAAUUUAGUAUGACAAAUAAUUUUUUUUAUUAAAUAUUAUUAUUUUAAUACUUAGAUGACAUAUAAUAGUUAAUUGGGAGUGAUAUGGUAAAAUUACGGUUGAAGCUGCUGAAACAAACAUAUCAUAAAUGUCUAUUUUACUUUUUUUUUAACAUCACGAUUGAAGUAGCCAAGCAAAUUGCUAUAAAAAUACUUGUGAAAAAAAUAAUUGGGCAUCCUAUAAGACACCAAGUUAAUUUAAAACCCCAAGAGUUAAUUUAUCAUUUAUGUUUAUUUUAACUUUUUUAUUAAAUAUUAUUAAUUUUUUAAUAUACAAACGACUUAUAAUAAUUAAAUACAAGUGAUAUAAUAAAAUUACGGUUGAAGCAACUGAAGCAGACAUGUCAUAAAUGUCUAUUUUACUUCUUUUUUUAUUAAAUAUUAUUAAUUUUCUAAUAUAUAAAUGACAUAUAAUAAUUAAUUAGGGAUAAUAUAGUAAAAUCAUGAAGCAAGUAACUUGAAACUACGAUAUUUCCCUUAGCCAAACAUACAUGUCUACAUGUCUAUUUCACAUAUUGCACUGUCUCUUCUACUAUAGUAGAGUGUGUGUGUGCGUGCAUAUAUAUAUAUAUAUAUAUAUAUAUGUAUGUAUGUAUGUAUGUAUAUGUAUGUAUAUAUAUGUAUGUAUGUAUGUAUGUAUGUAUGCAGGGAAAAGUCAUCAAAAUCUCCCUUAACUAUACAUACACGAAAAGUCACUUACACGCUUAAACUAACGUGACGACCUAUUACACACCUAUUAUUCUUAAAAGUGAAUUUAAUAGCCCGCUUAUAUGUUAAAGCAGUCGCAUACUCCUACGUGAUUCAUACGCGCCAGCCUAUUAAAUUAAGUAAAACGUAUAAUUUUUGUGUUUUUUCACUUUUUUUUCAACCACUUUUGCCUUUAGCAGUUUAGCUUCUUCCCUUUUUUUUUUCUCACAUGAACCAAGCUUCCAUGGUUGUUCUCAAGAAGAACGACCAUAAUGUCAUCUUCUUCUUCCAUUGUUGAUAUAAAAUCAAUACAAUCAAGCAAUAACUUUAUCAAAUUUAAUCUUCUUUGUUAUACGACACCAAAAGUUACAACACCAUCACCACCUAAUUGUACCACCCAUCAUCAAAUUCACACACAAUUACAGUCACCAAAAAUCAAUAUACCUCACCACUAAUUCACCAUUCGACAUCAAAAUAAAUUUUGAGCAAUUAAUAUUAUUAUUAAUUGAGCAAAAUUGAAAGAAGAUUUUUAUAGAGAGAAAAUAGAUCUACAAAAAAAAGUGUUAAAAAAUUGAAUUUUGAGCAAAAUUCAUAAACUUUUACAGAGAAAGAACAGAAAUACGAAAAUAAAUUGAAAAAUUGAUGUUCAACGUGAAGCAAUAAGAUUUGUUUAAUUUCAAAUGUCUCAUUAAAAAAAUUUCCGACUGGCGACGAUGCCAUCCUCAAUCUUUUCUAAUUUUAUCUGUGAAAACUAUCAUGAAAAAAUAAUUCUCACCAACCAUAGCAAAGGAGGAGCGAUUGUGAUGAAGAAAAAUUAAAGAUGGGUGAAUAAAAGAGAAUGUGCGCAGGGGUGGGGGAGGGAUUUAAAGAAUUUUUGUCUUUUCUUUUUUCUCUAGACCCGCCUUUUUUUUUUAAAAAAGAAAAUUAAAUGUUAUUUCCACGUCAGAUCUAGGGUGGAAUAAAAUUCACUUUUGAGAAGAAUAGGUGUGUAAUAGGCCACCAUAUUAAUUUAGGUGUUUAAUUAACUUUUCGUGUAUAGUUCAGGAUGAUUUUGAUGUCUUUUCCCUAUGUAUGUAUGUAUGUAUGCAUGCAUGUAUAUAUAUAUAUAUAUAUAUAUAUAUAUUUAUUUAUGUAUAUAUGAAAAUACUACGUUAUUGGCAGAUGAAAUCUAAUUAAAAUUUUCAAUUUUAGAAUUAUAAAUUAAUAAAAUUUUAACCUUAUACAAUAUUUUAAUUAAUUAAUUUAUUUGUUCCUAAAAGUUAUAUUCUAGGUUCAACAUUAGGUUAACCUCAUUUAAUUUGAGUUCUUUUUUAACUAAUAAUGUAUUUAAUUUAAUCAUAGUUAAAUGCUUACCCAUUUCAACUAAUAGUUAUUAUAUUUUUUAAUCAAUUUAUUUAUUUCUAAUGGUGUAACACUAGUUGCAAUGAAACAUUAAAGAACCGAUAUUAGACUCAGUUGAAACUCUGUUAUAUUAUUGGUCAACUCACCUCGGUGUUGUAAGAAGUUGAGUUGAGCCCGAUGCUUAAAUCUACUUGUUAGAAUUAAUAAUUUAUCUAUCUAUUUGUAAUUAAAAGUCUCUAAGAAAUAUUGUAUAAGAAACAAUAUACAUGACACGUGGAAAAGUUAAUUGAAGAUACAUGAUUGGUUAAGUACGCAACGGUUAGACACUGAAAGCAGCCGAUCCAUCUCGAAGGAGUGAAAGCGUAUCAAGGCUCAAAUAUUUAAAGAAAAAGUCAACAAAUAGCACCUGACAGUACUGAUUCAUUUUGGAGAUAAUCCCGGUGUUACUUCUAAUAUUAAAUUAGUCAUUCAAGGUAAAUUAAGAGAUAUUGAUUCUUAGGCAUUAAACCCUGAGAAGUCACCCCUAUAAAAGGAGAUGAAUCUUCAUGUUGAAGGAUAUACAACACUUUCUUGCUAAACAGCUGUCUCAAAAAACUAUAAGUAAAGUUUCAUUAUUUGUCUAUUCUAAUUCUUGUGUUCUUCAUCAAGUUCCAAACUAUUUUGGUGACAAUCCAAUCAAAUGUUCCUCCGGAAUCAAGCUAAACAAGCUUUAUUUAGUUUAUGUUUAUUUGAUAUUUCAUUCAAUUGCUAAUUAACAUUACUUUUGUUUUUUUAUUUCAUUACAUUGUUAUCAUCAUUAAUUUGAUCUACGACUUUCUUGAACCACGUUAUAAAUUUAAUUAUACCUUUUUUGAGGUAAAUUUAUUUGGUGCCAACUAUGGAGCUAAGGGCAAUUAUGGUAUUGAUUCUAUAUUACUUUCGCUGUUCCACAAUAAGUUAAUUGUUGAAUUUUGACACACAUAUUAAGAAGAAAAAACAAAAUCAUAAAUUUAUUAUGUUUUUGUAUUUUUGCCCUCUUAAAAGUUUAAAACUUUAAUGAUGAUAUAUCACUCCCAAUGUACAUUUAAUGGAGGGUAAAUUUGGAAAAAAAUUUUAAUAUCUACCUUGAAUCGUAAAUCAUUCACUUAUUUUAAAUAUUAAAAAAUACUUGAACAAUUUACUUAUUGUGGAACGAAUGGAGUAGUAUUUUGUUGACAAACUUUAAAGUUUGGAUAGAUUAAAUUAUCGGGACCCACCUUUCCGAAAAGGAUCAGAUUGAAGAGUUUAUUAUCAGUUUUCAAAGGGAAAGGAUAUUGUUGUACUAGUUCUGAAUGAAUGGGCAGUAGAAGCUUUAAUUAAGGGGCUCAAGCCCAGAAGUACUAGUGCAUCAUGUAAAUUAAAGAAAAACUUGUUGGAAUUCUUAGCAACGACAUAAACAGAUGUUCACAACAAAUAUGAGUCAAAAUUUUUGAUAGAUGAUGAUUAGUUGGCUCCAUUGCUGUCCAUGGGAUCAAGUGGCCGAAGUCAUUCAAAAAGAAGCAAAGACUAUGAUUCAAACCUCCAUGGCAAAGAUAUUAAACAUAUGUUUCAACGGAGAGAUCUCGUGAUCGUAUGGACCAGGGACAAAGUGGUCAAUACUUUCAAACAUCAAAGAAACCAAAGUUUGACACAAGAAAUAACCAUUGUCAAGGAAACAGAAACUUGCUAAACAAAUGAGGGGCAAUGCCAUCAACUUCAUGGAUGAAUGGUGUUGGAGCUCCGAGUUGUCUGAAUACUCCUUCAACAUCGAUUUAGUUGAGUUGGUAGCAUCAGAUUUGAUCUAAAUCAAAGUGAACUAAGACUAAUAUUUAUUUUCAUAGGACACAUAAACAUAUGACCAGGGACUAUCAAUACUUAUGAGAAGAGGUUGAACAACUGCUAAAAGAAUGUCACUUUAGAGAGAUCUUGAGUGAUCGAGUCAAGAACAAUAAUGGCAGGAGAAGAUAGGCAUAUGAAUCGAUUCAGCCACCUGCACUGGAUCAUGUGCUCAACAUGAUAGUUGGAGGAGAAGAAGCUGACGUCGUUACUUUUACAGCAACAAAAAAGUCAAAGGAAUCGAUAAACAAGGAAAAAAGGCCAUUAGAGUUCUUAAGAGAGGAAGAAACAAUCACGUUCAGUGACAAAGACUUAGGCUUUAUUUGUUUUUAUUAAGAUUCAGACGUCUAAAUCUGAAUGCAUAUCUGAAUGAUUAAAAUGUUGUCUUCAGAUCUGAAAUCUGAAUGGUUAAGACCAUUUAUUUUUCAAUAUCUGAAUAUACAAAAAUUAUUUAUUUGCAUAUAUAGUAAAAAAAUAUAAUUCCAAUAAAAAUAAUUAUAUAUUAGAAAAAUAUUUAAUUUAAUGCGAUAAAUUAUUUUUGAUUGAAAAAAAUCAUAUUUGUUAGUGAUAACGGAGUUAGUUUGUAAUGGUAGUGGUGGUAGUAAUGAUUGAUGUUCGUGAUUAAUAAUAUUAGUGGUAAUAGUUGUGAUGAUAAAGAUGUUUGGUAUUGUAGUGAUUGUUGUGAUGGUGCCGAUUGGUAGUGAUGGUGGUAGUGGUGUGACGUCGGCUGAUUUAAGUAGUUGGAGGUGUUGAUUAUAAUAGCUUAAAAAUGAAUGUAUGGUGGUUGAUGAUGUGUUGGUGGUAGUUGGAGAUGUUUAUUGUGAUGGUGGAGAUGAUUAUUACUAGAGAUAUAUUAUAGCAAUGAUAGUGGUUGAAGCAGUAGUAGAGAUGGUGACACUGAUGACAAUGGUGGUGGUGGUCGAAGAAUGUGUGGAUGUUGAUGAUGUGUUAGUGGUAGUUAGCAGUGGUGCUAGUUGUGAUAGAUGAGUUGGUUAGUAGUUGGGAUUGACCAAUAGUGGUUGAUGAUAGUGGUGGUGUUGGUGGUGUUGACAUUGGCGUUGACGAUGGUGAUAGUUGUGGAUAUAAUUAAAUCAAUGGAGGUCUAGAUAUGUUAGCGGCUGAAAAUAAUUGUUAGUAGAAAUUAUAAUUGUGAAUGGUGGUUGUGAUAUGGUUGGUGGUGGUGGUGGUUGGUGGCAAGGUGGUGGUUGAUAGUAGUGGUGGUGGCAGAGGUGGUACGUGAUGGUGACUGAUGAUUAUGGAUAGAGUGGAGGUGAAUAUUAUUCAAUACAAAAAUACCUCUUAAUGAUUGACUUAGUUCAAAAUCUGAAUGAUUAAGACCUAUUCAGACCUAUUAAGAGCGAAAAUCUUAAUGAAAAACAAAUGUACUUAAUGGUCUGAAGUCUGAAUUAUUCAGAUUCAGACCUCCAUUAAGUACAAACAAAUGAGGCCUUAAAGGGAACUAUUCAGACUCACAAUAAUGGUCUAGUCAUUAUUGUUAACAUUAGUCAUUUUCAAAUUAAAUAUGCCUUAUUUAUGUAGCUCAACCAAUAUAAUUCAUUGAUAGGGUUGAGCAUAUUAAAAGUCUAGACAAAAUAUUUCUAGUUGUAAGAGUGCUCUUCAAAUGUAAAAUAGCAAGCAGUGUUGGGAAAGGCAAGGGCACUAUUAAAGAGCAUGACAGGGUAACAGCGGAAGACUACCCAAAUCUAACUUUCUCUUUCAAUUUGAACCAAGAGGAGAUAAGCAAAUCCAAGCAAAACAAAGUAAUAUGACAGCAAAUAAAUCAACCACACAAAUACGGUAAGAUAAAAAUAAUAAGAUACCAAAUUUAUGUGAAAAAUCCUUCGAUGUGAAGAGUAAAAAAUUACGGAAUCAAAAACUCCACUAUAAUCACCAAGAGUUACAAUAUUAUUCUCCAAAAUGGCCACCAAAUAAGUUCCAAACAACGAGCAACAACAUAACAAGAUAACACCAAAACUAGAGAAUAAAAAGGAGCACAAACACCAAGAACACAACUACUAUUUGGGAAUGAAGAACAAGAGCUACAGGACACCAAAUCCACCUCCGCUAGUUUUUAAUAAAAUAUUGAUAUGAGAGAAACAAGAUGUCCAAAAAUCAGAUCAAUCAAACAAGAAACAAAGCAGGAAUCGCAAUUUGAAGUUGAUAGCUUUGGUUGAAAUUUUUGGACAAAAAUCUGCACACUUUCUCUCUUUUGUGGUUGCUAAAACUCUCUUUUUGUGAUGGUGAAAUAAGACCUAAAAAGAUCUAUAAAUAUGCCCCAUAGUAAUGGUACUAUGUGCAAAAGUGGGUUGGUUUAAAUUGGACUUUAUUUAUCCACAUAGGAAGGGAAAAAACCCAUAUCCCAACAAUUCUCCCCCUCUCGAUAAUGUAGAGGAGGCCGUCAUCCCGGUGAUCAUGCAAUAAUCUUCAAACUUCCCUCUUGACAAAACUUUAGUCAUCAUGUUGAAACCAUUAUCAUCCAUGUGAAUCUUCUCAAGAUCAAGCAACUUAGAAUCCAACACAUCUCGAAUCCAAUGACAUCUCACAUUAAUUUGUUUCGACCGACCAUGAAAUGUAGAAUUCUUGCCAAGUUGUAUAGCACUUUGACUGCGCAAUAAAGCACAUACCUCCCUUGAGCAACACCAAGUUUCACCUAGAAUCUUUUCAUCUAAAGAAAUUCUUUACAAGAUUCAACAGUAGUAAUAAGCUCAGCUUCUAUAGUAGAUAGAGCAACACAUUUUUGCAACCUAGAUUGCCAAGAAACAGCCCCCUUGCAAAAGUAAUGUAAGACCCCACAAAAUUUCUAAGCUUAAUUCAAUCUUUUAGGCUUGUCAAGGGGUCUCAGACUUAGAAAAUUCUUACUAAGUUUCCAUACUUAGUUAAUUUUUGGCUUUCGAAAGUAGGCAAUCUCAUUUCAUGACCUUAAUAUCCUUUAAUGGUUCGUAUUUUUAUUAAUUCAUGACCAGGGAGGUCAAUCGGUGUUUCCGAACAAAUUUUGAAUUUUUUGGAUCUCGUUUAGAUCAUGUUUGGUAUCCCAAAAUAGUGUUCCAACGCGAUCUUGGUGCGCCGCAUCGCCUAUUGUGUUGGCUAACAUUAUUGCAGGUUGCCAGAGUUAAAACUACUGAGGCUUGGUGCGAUCAUGGUGUGAUGCGUCGGGUAUCACAGUGAAGCCAUCGAUGCACCGCGUCGCUCAAUCAUUGAUACCCAGUUUUUAGUUAUUAAAUAACUGCGUCUUUAAGGGUAAAUAGGUCAUUAUUCCACGAACUAGGUCGGCCCCAAACAUGAAAUUGUUCCCUAAAUGACCUAAAUAUUUCAUUAUUCUUAGAAGUUUCCCCAAAGUUCAUCUCUCUCUCAAAGGCAAGAAACCCUAGUUUCAAAAUUCUAGAACUAGGCUCGAGAAUUUCUUCAAGAACCCCUAAGGAUUUACGUGCUAAGGUAUGUAAAGUGUGCAUCCAAGGGUCCCUUACACCCUUGGAGUCCAAGAAUCUUUUUUCAAAGUUCAAGUAUAUGGGUUUUCAUGAAUUCUAUGUUGGGUUUGGUUUUAUUCAUGUUGAUAAUGAUUAAUUGAUUAUUAUAUGAGUAGAUUCAUGUGAAUCCAUGAUGAAACCCUUGAAUUGAAUUAAAUCAUGAUGCUUACUUGUUGUGUAAGUGUUGCCUACAUAUACCAUGCUCACUAAGUGCUUGAUGAAUUGUCUAUGUGAACUAAUAAGAGAAAGAAAACAUGUCAUGUUAGCUUAUGUGCAAGUUAUGUCGUGCGAGUGUUUGAUAAAUUGUCUAUGAGAAGGGACUAGUGCCAUGCGAUAGUAUACUAAUAUGUAUCCCCUAUUCAUGUACAAGUAAUGCAUCACAAGUGUUUGUUGAAAUGUUCUAAGGAAUGAAUGAUGAACAUGUAGCCAUUGUUGAGUUUUUAAGAUUGUGCCAUGAUUUACUUAUUAUGCUCUAGAGUCCUGGGGGUACUUGUACCCGACAAUUUAGCUAUGUGCCUAGAGCCAGUGUCAUUUUUCAAGAUACUCUCAGUCAAUCCAUGAUCAGUAGAAUUCAGUCAGUCAUAUGACUCAGGAAAACUCAGUAAAUUCAGUAUCAGUCCAGUCAUACUCAGUACUCAGUAACCUCAGAAAUCUUAGUAAAUCUCAGUAACCUCAGUCAGUUAUCAGAUAUCAACAGUAGUCCGUUAGUCAACGAAACUCAAUUAACCCAGUCCAGUUCAUGUCAGCAUAAUUAGUUCAAUGUCUAUUCAGAUGGGAGUAGGAUUCAGCAUCGAGUGAACCCAAGGAUGGGAACACACAUUGCUAGUUGAGGGUGUGAUUCCUAGAAACAAUCCUUGUGUUCCAGAACUAUAUAGCUUGUUAGAUGAGGGUUCCACCGUUCUUUUUUGGGGACACUGGUAAACGAGGUUCACUCAUAGCUUGUCCUUACUAGUGGCACGGUACCCCAAAUCUAUUCAGAAAAGGGGCAUGUCGAUUAGAUAAAUUCUCCCACAGUUUUAGUUACAGAAUCAGGACUAUCAUAUACAGUCACCCAGUCUCAGUAAUAGAACUCAGAUAGUUCUUCAGAUUUUAGGACUGUCAAACACAGUCACUCAGCUAACAGUAUAUCAGUUAUCAUAUCAGUAAUCCAUGUCAUUAGUAAAUUCAGUAGUCAGAGUCCUCACGAUUUCAGUUAGAGUUAUGUAUUCAACCAUGUUCAUGCUAUUCAGUCAGUUAUAGUUUAUGCAUAUAAACCCUUGCAUUCAGCCUUAUCUCACUUUGCAUACCAGUACAUUCACACAUACUGACGCAUACUUUUAUCUUGUGCUAUGGUGUCUUAUACCAUAGGUUCGGAUGCUCAGGCUCUCGAUCGCGCUUAGCAGCUCGAAAUUCAGCAGACAAAUUCAGUGGUGAGUCCUCAUAGUUCGAGGACAUGAUCAUUUAUUCUUUCAGUGUUACAUACUUAGUUAUUUCAGUAGUUGGAGUUAGUUGGGGACAUGUCCCAUCAAUUCCUUAUUCAGACAGUUUAGAGGCUUUAUUAGAUUAUAGUAUGUUCAGAUAGUUGUCCAGUUUUAGUAUUGUAAUACCG